UACCAACGAUCGUUGCAUUAAAGAAUGAGAAACGAGAAUCCUACGGUACAAAUAGAAUGAGCCCAGGGAUUUGGAGCUUUUCGAUGAAUCCCAAUUAAUUAUUUCCGUCAGCAUAGAAGAUUAGCGAAACGAGGUCAAUGUGGCAAUUAAUCUUAACCAAAAACCUGUUCGCAAUGGAAUAUUCCCUUUUAACCCGAGAAUAAUCUCAGAAAACAAUGUACCAAGGUUAUUUCGACGUUUAAUUUUUUGUCUUCUUAUACUGGACUCAUCUCAAAAUUUUGUUAAAUAAAUUUUUCUUGAAUUUA